AACGAACGCUGGCGGCAGGCCUAACACAUGCAAGUCGAGCGCGCCCUUCGGGGUGAGCGGCGGACGGGUGAGUAACGCGUGGGAACGUACCCUUUGCUACGGAAUAGCCUCGGGAAACUGAGAGUAAUACCGUAUACGCCCUUUGGGGGAAAGAUUUAUCGGCAAAGGAUCGGCCCGCGUUGGAUUAGGUAGUUGGUGGGGUAAUGGCCCACCAAGCCGACGAUCCAUAGCUGGUUUGAGAGGAUGAUCAGCCACACUGGGACUGAGACACGGCCCAGACUCCUACGGGAAGCAGCAGUGGGGAAUCUUAGACAAUGGGGGCAACCCUGAUCUAGCCAUGCCGCGUGAGUGAUGAAGGCCUUAGGGUUGUAAAGCUCUUUCAGCUGGGAAGAUAAUGACGGUACCAGCAGAAGAAGCCCCGGCUAACUCCGUG
rnacentral:rRNA from 1 species